rnacentral:lncRNA from 1 species
UUUCUAGUAUGCGUAGGAUAUAGAAUAUAGGAGGGGAAUCCAAAAUUUGAUCAGAUACCCGCUCGAACUCUUGAGGAUGUUGCUAUAUCAAAUCCUUCCUUGAUGGCAGAUGAUGAGGCUGAAAAUUCAAAGUUUGGAAUGCAAACUGAAUAUUUUUUUGGAGAAAUGAACUGAUUCAGAGAGCUAGCAUGUUUCUCUGAUUUCACAGUGAUAGUCAAUG